rnacentral:lncRNA from 1 species
AGAUACCAAAAAGCUUCCAAACCAAUAUUAGAAAGAAAAAAAACUAUAUUUUCUAUAAAUACACCACAUUCUCAUAUUAGCAAAACAUUGUAAAAAACUGUAACUAAUAUAACGUAAACGGUAAACCAUAUUUCCUAUUUUUAGUAAAUUGUUACACCUCUUUAGUACUAAUUAACAAGGAAGAAAGAAAAAGAAAAAAAAACAAAUGUAUAUGUGAGUUGUUAUUUCUCUAUUUAGUACACCAACUAAGUAACAAUAACAUAUUAACGGAAAAAAAAACCGUUUCCAUAUGUAUAUAUAAACCCCUAAAAGUUCUAACAUUGAAGAUAAGGUAGCUCAAAUAACAUCAAAAC